ACGCUUUGAAAUACAUGUACAACAGAAACAGGAAGAAAGAAUAAGAGAAAGUUGUGGUGAAAGACUACUGCAGGGUUCGCCAACAACCCCUGCUAGAGCCUCGUAUUUUCGUUCAAUAAACAAUCACAACGCCCGGGCUAGGAAUCGAAACCGCGAUGCUACAACUGCGAGUCCGC